CGAAAUACCUUCAUGUCAUCGGCAAGCCAUAGAAACUUACUGACAAUACUCGUGAAAAUGUCAGUGAUAAAAAUCAAAAUGGAGCUAGAUUUCUUCCUUGGAGGGUACAACUUGAGGCAAUAAAUAAUAUCAUGGUCCAACCGAUCAAAGGCCUUCUGUAGCAAAAUCUGUGUAGAUUACAUCAAGUUGACAUUUGCCGUCCCUAGCCUCAGCAGAAAGGUUAAAUUAGCGACUCUUGUACCCUAACCUGAAAAAAGCUGAUUACAGCUUGCUAUUAAACAGAUUGCUAUAAUAGUGCAGGUCCCAAGGGCCUUAGAAAAAUUAAUCAAAAUAAAGAUUGGGCGAUAGUUUUCCACCAUAAUUCUUUCUUCUGACUUAAAAACUGGGAAAAUAUUUGCUUGUUUCCAGACGUUAGAAAAAGUGCUUCGGCAUAGUGACAAAUUAAAAGCAAAAACACAAUAACAUAGAAGAAAUAAAGGAAUACUGUGAAGCCCUUCAGUCAGCUUAUUUUUUAGUUUUUUAAAAUAAGAUAAUAUAUUCACAUGAUUUAAAUAUUUUGAGAAGCAGUAAUAAUGUACACCCUGUAUAUUAAAUAAAUACUUAAAUCUGC